rnacentral:rRNA from 1 species
UACGUAGGGACCGAGCGUUGUCCGGAAUCAUUGGGCGUAAAGAGCGUGUAGGCGGCCACUUAAGUCCUGCGUGAAAUCUUGCGGCUCAACCGCAAGCGGUCGUGGGAAACUGGGUGGCUAGAGUGCGGGAGAGGAGAGUGGAAUUCCUGGUGUAGCGGUGGAAUGCGCAGAUAUCAGGAAGAACACCCGUGGCGAAGGCGGCUCUCUGGAACGCAACUGACGCUGAGACACGAAAGCGUGGGUAGCAAACAGG